rnacentral:lncRNA from 1 species
UUUCUCUUUCUCAAGAACAACAUGUGUUAAUGCUUCUCUCUUCAAGUUAUCUAAGUUUUCUCUCUCUACUUUCCAUUUGGAAUCUCUUGAUCAACCACUAUUUGGUUAGUUUUUUUGGGUUAUCGAAUAAUUAAAUCUAAAGUUUCAGUUUUUAUACUUAUAAAAGAAUAUUGUAAAUUUGAUUGUUUAGAGCUUUCUCUUUUUAAUUAAUCUCGUGAAAGUGCAUGCAUUUAGUUCCCAGAAGGAAUGCCUUUUUUGUGGGUUUUGCUGGAUUUUAUUUAUAUAAUCAUUGAUCACCAUUUUUUAAUAUCUGGCUCUAAUUUAGGGUUUAUUUUGGAUAUUUAUGUAGGGAUCUCCAGUUGGUGAAAUUAUAUAACAAAAAUUUGUGCUAUAAUUAUCGGCGACACGGCGAAAGAAUCGAUUUUCCUGAUGGUAAAAAGGUAAGCUUUUGGAUUUAUCAUAUACUCCAUUUGUUCCAGUUUACGUGAAACUAUUUUUUUUGGUCCGUUCCAAAAAUAAUGUACUUUACUAAAUUUGGUAAUAAUUUAGCUUAAACUUACAAUUCUAACCACAAAAAUAAUCUGGGCCUUUUUUUAUUUGUUUAGGACCAUAAAUUCCAAAAGUCUUAUUUUUUCUUAAACUAUGUGCUCACUCAAACAAUUUCACGUAAAUUGGAACGGAGUUCUUCAAUUAGUGAGUUGCAUGUGUUUGUGUAUCAGUUGCAUGCUAAUUUUCCCUCAAUAAUUCUUAAAGAUUAGUUUUUUUAUAUGUCUAUUUCUGGGUUUAUGCACAAAUUUAGUUUCCUUUUUGUCAAUACCAAAGUUCCAAUUUAGCUGUUCAUAUUAUCGAUGUUUCUAGCUGUUUGAGUGAUUAUAAAGGAACGUACUUCUCAAUGGUGACCAGUAUGGUAACCAGUUGGUCUCACAUUAAUGUUUCAGCUCUUUUUAAUUUGUUGCUUAAAACUCUGUGGUCGCUUAAACAACAUAGUCAAAUUUUGCUUUAAGCUUUUUGUCCUUUUUAUUUCGUAAUUUUAAGUUGUUUGAUGCUAUAUUUUUAGCCAUUACAACAAUUGCAAGAUAGAUUCUCAGCUGAGAAGAGUCUUUGUUCAACUGCUUUUGCUCGGAGAUACUUAAUUCCACUCCAGAUUAAAAGUGGGGAUUGUUGGAUGAUUGUCCCUGUUAUCUGCAUAUGUACCUUACCUUCUCAGUCUUCUUUUUCUUAAGUAAAUCCAUAUAAAUCUUUGCGCGUUCCCAUUCUAAACAUGUUCUCUCACUGGCCACGAUCGAGAGGUCUUUUCCUCAUUGCUGCGUUCCCAUUCUAAAUAUGUUCUCUCACUGGCCACGAUCGAGAGGUCUUUUCCUCAUUGCGUUGAGUGAUAUCAAUUAUCUUUUCAAGCAGUAUCUGAGCUCCACUGGAAUGAUUCAAUCAUAUUCUGAACCAUGUUUGUUGUGGCAAUGAGGAGACAGAUGUUUGGACAGAUUAUUUUGGAUCCAAAGGAAAAUCUAAUGUUCCACAUCUAUUCUCAAAAGCUAACUAUCUUGACUUUGGACUGUGAGGACACAUACUUUAUAAAAUGGUUCAUCCAUGUUUGUUGCCAAGAGCAACAUUAUGUAGAUAUAGGAUUCGGCUUAAUUUAUGAUCUUUACAUUUAAGUCAAUUAAGAUUCUUCUCUUUUUGACAAAGUCCAAGGAUAGAUCACUUAAGAUACUGUAUGAGGAUUGAAGUAUUCAGGGUCGUUUGGGGGCAGGGGAAUAGAUUGAAUAUACUUAGAAGAGACAAAUAUUAAAAGUUCAAUAUUUUGCCCCCAGGUCUUAGUUCAAGUGGCAAAGGUUGAGGGGCUUGUGACUUAGGUCAUAGGUUCGAGCCCUGCGCUAUGCGAAUUAGUAUUUAAGUGGAGAAGUGUAGAGGGGCGGGCCCAUUAUCCCCGAGUUUCAUAGGCUGCGGUGGUCCUAAGGGUUGGCCUUAGACAGAUUUCCGGUCAUCAAAAAAAAAUGUUCAAUGUUUUUCCUUAUUUCUCGGGAUCGUGGUUCUAAUCUUGCUUACGACUAUGCGGGAGAAGCCUGCUGUGCCGAUUAGGAGUGGGGAAGUUAAGUCUUUUCUGCUUUCUAUUACUUUUCUGUGAGUUUUCGUAUCUGGUUUUUUAGUGCAGGUUGACUUUUGUAAAUGAUGUAAAUGACAUACUAGAUAUACUAAAAGAUCUACACUAUCUGUAAUAUCUUCUAGCACCUUCUUAUUGCCGUUUUUUGUCAAUAUUGUCUUUCUUUAACUAUAAAAACAAUUCCUAUCUGGUUGACUUUUCUAAAGCUUUUUGUUCAAUGAGCUCAACUGGGAAAGAAAGACAAAUCUUCAUAGAGCUAGCUCAACUUCAUGAUAAAAGGUUUGAACUAAAAGACGGUCUGUAUGCUACCAUGGCAGCUCUUAAGCCUUUCUAUGAGAGGUUGAUGGAAGGAAGAUAACUUUGGGGUUCCAAAGAAAGCCCUCAAUGGGAGGAUACUCACCUUUAGCUGACGAGUUUUUAUCCCAUGAAUGAUGGAGCACUCCUUACGUGGAUGCUACUUGUUGGAUCUUUUGCUACUAUUUGUAGUGUUUAUUAAUAGCUUCGCAAAUUCAGCUUAACUUGUAGAGGAGAUGAGAUAUUUUUGGUAGCUGAUAGGUACUCCUAUCCUACCCAAUGCUUUCUUAUCACAUCUGAUUGAUUAUGCUAAAGUUUCUUAUCUUCUCUUUGAGUAUUUUUUUUAAGUGCAAAAGAUUUUGCUGUGUGAAUGCAAAGUUAGAAGUCUCCUUUUCCCUUGCUGGGGUCGCUCUCAUCACUUCCAUGUGGAAUUUUGUAGACCUCAAGGCUCUAUUAGGUUUUUGACUGGCUAAGGGAGUAAAGGUGGCCUUUUCGCAAAUCGCAACGGUGAAUGUGUGAAGUUUUAUCUGGGUUGUCAAUUUUUUCACAACUUCUACUCUAAAAGACAUAUGUAACCAAUGAAAGAAGGUUACUCUUUCAUGUUUACCUUUAUCUAGUCCAGCAGGAUGUCUUAAGGAAGGAGGUCUUGGCAUGUUAACUUGUACUUAGGGAAAAAUAUCUGUCAAAAAGAGCCUAUUUGCUAUGAAACUUUUGCAUAAUAUUUCGAAGUGUGAUUAGGCAAUAGACACUAAUGUAGUUUCCAUUUCUCUGUCUCUUCUUUCAGAUAGAUGGCAACAUGUUUUGAGCGGAG